ACACUCCUACGGGAGGCAGCAGUGGGGAAUAUUGCACAAUGGGCGCAAGCCUGAUGCAGCCAUGCCGCGUGUGUGAAGAAGGCCUUCGGGUUGUAAAGCACUUUCAGCGGGGAGGAAGGCGAUACGGUUAAUAACCGUGUUGAUUGACGUUACCCGCAGAAGAAGCACCGGCUACCUCCGUGCCAGCAGCCGCGGUAAUACGGAGGGUGCAAGCGUUAAUCGGAAUUACUGGGCGUAAAGCGCACGCAGGCGGUCUGUCAAGUCGGAUGUGAAAUCCCCGGGCUCAACCUGGGAACUGCAUUCGAAACUGGCAGGCUUGAGUCUUGUAGAGGGGGGUAGAAUUCCAGGUGUAGCGGUGAAAUGCGUAGAGAUCUGGAGGAAUACCGGUGGCGAAGGCGGCCCCCUGGACAAAGACUGACGCUCAGGUGCGAAAGCGUGGGGAGCAAACAGGAUUAGAAACCCCAGUAGUCCCAUG
rnacentral:rRNA from 1 species